rnacentral:snoRNA from 1 species
ACCUGGCAGUGAUGAUUAAUACACAGCUUUAAUGCCAGUUCUGCUACUGAAAAUCCAUGAUUGAUAGAGCUGUUAUUACUCUGAGCAAUUU